rnacentral:rRNA from 1 species
UUGGGAGCUCUCCCAUAUGGUCGACCUGCAGGCGGCCGCGAAUUCACUAGUGAUUAGAGUUUGAUCAUGGCUCAGGACGAACGCUGGCGGCGUGCUUAACACAUGCAAGUCGAACGCUGAAACACUUUCGGGUGUGGAUGAGUGGCGAACGGGUGAGUAACACGUGGGUAAUCUGCCCUGCACUCUGGGAUAAGCCUUGGAAACGGGGUCUAAUACCGGAUAUCACUUCUUCAGGCAUCUGAGGGGGUUGAAAGUUCUGGCGGUGCAGGAUGAACCCGCGGCCUAUCAGCUUGUUGGUGGGGUGAUGGCCUACCAAGGCGACGACGGGUAGCCGGCCUGAGAGGGUGACCGGCCACACUGGGACUGAGACACGGCCCAGACUCCUACGGGAGGCAGCAGUGGGGAAUAUUGCACAAUGGGCGCAAGCCUGAUGCAGCGACGCCGCGUGAGGGAUGACGGCCUUCCGGUUGUAAACCUCUUUCGCCAGGGACGAAGCGCAACUGACGGUA